AUAAACCAUCAACAGAUUUCUCCAUUUGCUCUUUUCACAAAAUAACUCAAAUCUGCCAUUUCUCACUGCACAUCAUCAAUCGGUAAUUUUAAUAACUUUUGUAAAGUUAUUUCAUUUCAAAAACUUUGUUUUCAAAAAUCCAAUCAUGCAUACAUCUAUUUUUCUGUAAUUUUAUAUAUACUGCUAAAUACAUGAAAAAGAAGAUAGAAAUAGAAGGGAUGGGAAUUGUUGGUGAGCGGAUGCUGGACAGCCGGUGAAGCGCGACAUCGACAACCCCUAUGUUGAUGGCCGCCGGACUGAGGGCGCGAAGCAGCGAGGACAGGGGCGGCGGCGCUGUGGUCUCGACCGCUGCCGUGCCUUGCUGGUCGAGACAGAGGGAGCAGGAGGCGGCGAUGGCAGCCCCGCUGCUGCUGUCGGCCAGGAGGUGAAGGAGAUGAGGGAGGCGGUGACUAGGCGGCGCUGCUGUCGACGUGGGAGCGACGAUGGCGGCCGUUGCUACCGGCCGAAGGAGAGAGGGAGGGGGCUGUAGACACGGGGGUGAGGUCGUUGGAGAGAGAGACGACGCAGAGAGGGAGAGUGAGGGCGAGAGCCGCCAGCUCCGGCGGCGGCGUUGCCGUCUGGUGGCGGCGGAAGGGUGAGACCGAGGGAGAGAAGGAGAGAGGGAGAAAGGGGAAGAAGGGAGCUGCGCAUGGAGCUUGUAUUGUGAAGUAGUGGUGUGUGUGUAAGAUCUUUAAGUUAGGGCAAGAGAGGAGAGUGGGCUUGGGCUUGGGCCUAAGCUAAUUUAUGAAUGGGCUUUUAAAAGUGGGUUAAUAAUGUUUUGGGCUUGAUUUAUUUUUAUUGUGGAUUUGAAAUGAUUAGCCAAUAAAUUAUGGUAGUAAUAAUUCUUAAUAUGAUUUCAAAAUUAUGUAUUAAGUUGAAUUUAUUUUACAAGAAAAUAUUUUAUUAUUUAAAACUAUUAAACCAAUGAUUUCUACAUUAUCUUAUAGAAUAAAUUCAUAAAGUUUAAAUUAUUUUAUAGAUUCAAAUAGGCCCUUAUAUUUUGAAUUUAUCUGACUAGGUGCGGCGCGAUUAGGACGUGAACUUUAAAUUAUCACAGUUAACUUUCAAAGCUCAAAAGUUCAAGUUUCAGGUGUGGGAUUUAUUUCAGUACAUGCACGUGGUUAAUAUUUGUCCAUUUUAAUAUUAUGUGUUUACCGUAUGUGUUGUAAAAAUAUUUAUCGCUAGGGGCCAGCAUAAUUGGUCCAGGACUUCACCGUCCUUGGUAUGCCACAAUGCGAUUUCAUGUUACAGGGUUGCAACCAUUAUAUUGUCGCCAGGGAUCCACAUAUAGGGUCCGGGACAUUAAAGUCCUUGGAUUGCCACAGUGCGUAUGGAAGUUAUGUUACGUUAUGACAAUAUGUGUUACCAUUUUAUUAACAUGGACAAUUAUUGCAUGUUCCCACACUGAGUGUACCCUGUAUGCUCAUCCCAUAUUCAACAGUUUCAGGUGAUUGAUAUCGGAGGCGCGUGGAGAGUCGAAUGGGCGCGUCGAAUCUAUUUAAAGAUAAAUGUUUCCUAAAACAUAUUAUGUUAUUUCAUGUGAUAUCUCUUGAUUAUGUAAACUCUGAAAUUCUAUACUAUUUGAGAUUUGUGUGUGAUUUGUUUAAAUAAAUGUUAUUAUAUUAUUUUAAUGGCA
rnacentral:lncRNA from 1 species